CGCCCUUACGGGAGGCAGCAGCAAGGAAUUUUCGGCAAUGGGCGCAAGCUGACCGAGCAACGCCGCGUGCGGGAUGACGGCCUUCGGGUUGUAAACCGCUUUUCGGGGGGACGACCCUGACGGUACCCCCGGAAUCAGCCCCGGCUAACUCUGUGCCAGCAGCCGCGGUAAGACAGAGGGGGCGAGCGUUGUCCGGAGUCACUGGGCGUAAAGCGCGCGCAGGCGGCAACCUAAGUGUCGUGUGAAAGCCCCCGGCUCAACCGGGGGAGGCCAUGGCAAACUCGGCGACUGGAGCGGCGGAGAGGCCCCUCGAAUUGCCGGUGUAGCGGUGAAAUGCGUAGAGAUCCGGAGGAACGCCAGUGGGGAAGCCGGCCACCUGGGCUCGUCCUGACGCUGCGGCGCGACAGGUGGGAGAGCAAACCGGAUUAGAUACCCGGGUAGUCCACGCCGUAAACGAUGCCAGCUCGGCGUGUGGCGCACGGUUGUGCGUGCGUGCCUUAGCUCACGCGAUAAGCUGGCCGGCCUGGGGACUACGAGCGCAAGUUAAAACUCAAGGGAAUUGACGGGGGCCGCACAAGCAGCGGGGUUGUGGUUUAAUUCGACGCAACACGAGGAACCUAACUGGGCUUUGACAUGACGCUGCACGCCGUCGAAGAGGCCCCUGGGAGG
rnacentral:rRNA from 1 species